ensembl:lncRNA
CGCUCCGCCGCCCCGGGCAGCGGCGGGGGCGGCCCCGUCCGGCAGAGAGCCGCGCGGCAGAGCUCCGUGGAGUCCCCGGCCGUCCGUGGAGGAAGAGGAUGCCGGGGCUGUGGUGAAAGGGGCUCAGAGAAGCCGCCAGCUGCAUGUGGAAGAGCCAUGUAGCCAUAACUGCAGAGCAGCCCCGAUGUGUGGUUUAAGUCAUGCUUCCACACGCAGAUAACCAUCGUGAUCCCUGCUACCUCAUCCUGUGAAAGUCAGAGGCGAACAAGUGGUGUGUGAUUGGUACAACACCUGAGCAGAUCUGGGAGCAAUCAACCAAGGGCUCUGACCAGCUACUAGAGAAAAGAGAAAGUGAAGUCAAACUUUUAAGUCUGAGAAAGAGGAAGGCGCCACUACAGAAUAAGAAGUUUCUGACCUUUACCUGUUGGAAGUCAUACAACAAG